UUUGGAAACCGGAUGGCGAGGCGGCACCUGGUCCGUGACUGACGCUGAGGCGCGAAAGCGUGGGGAGCAAACAGGAUUAGAUACCCUGGUAGUCCACGCCGUAAACGAUGUGUGCUGGAUGUUGGGUGGCCUAGCCACGCAGUGUCGUAGCUAACGCGAUAAGCACACCGCCUGGGGAGUACGGCCGCAAGGUUGAAACUCAAAUGAAUUGACGGA
rnacentral:rRNA from 1 species